AUGAGGAGGGGUGGGUGUAAAGUCCAUCCUUCUCUGUGAGUAGAGGACGUGCUCUGAAAUCCAAAACAAGUUCCCUCGGUUCUUUUGUUGCACGCACGAACUGAGGGAGCAUUGUUCGGACCCCACUCCCCUUUCCUCUCCCACUCCCCUUUCCUCUCCCCCCCCCCCCCCCCCUAUGACCAGGUUGCGAUCUGAGCCUCGCAGUCGGGGUGGUAAUGAAUUUGCUGCGGACGCUCCUCUAACACGCUUUGACAAACGGAACGCAUUUAUUGCGGGUUUUGCAGACAAAAUAUGGGGGAAUAAUUUUGCAACGUGCAAUCCCCCCCCCCAAAAAAAAAACAAAAAAACAUUCUAAGUCUGUGACUAAAGUCAAAAGUAGAAAAGAAAGAAAAUUGGGAAAGACACACUUUGACUUAAGUGUACCAGAAGUCACACUGCUGCAAGUGUCCUAAUGGGAAGGAUAACCAGAGUCCAGAAAUUGGACACACACUCAUACACACAGUUUGAGGAAAGAGUAGAAAUUUUAAAAGCAAUUUUCACUCAACAAAAGUUCAAAUGAGGUCAGUGCAAUAGAUUGUCCUUCUGUCGAUGUUUAUCUUUAUAGAAAAAACAUGUUUACUUUCAUUUUUUUUAUUUCUAAUACACCUUAUCCCGAGCUUCCUUGCAAAAUAUAAUUAGUUAAAUCCUCACAUUUUAUCCUGUAAAAUACCCAUGUAAAUAAUAAUAAUAAUAAUAAUAAUAAUAAUAAUAAUGAAUACCAAAACAAAGAGCAAAUAUUCUCUCAUUUUUCCCCUCCCCCCCCUCUUUUUUUGCCUAAUUGCAGGCGUAUCCAUUAGCAUCCGCCGCCUGGAUUCACGUUUUAGUUAAACUGCGAGGGCACGUUCAGUGACGUAGACGAGCAUAUCAGCUGCGUGCAGCCAUAUUUAAAUACAUCAAGGCAAUUAGCCCAUCAAAAUAUGCAAAUCCCCCUCCUUACUACAUUGGCAGUGCAGCCCGGCCGCAGUCGGAGGAUAAUUUGUACACCCACUGCAGGGUGCGUGUGUUUUUUAAUGACUGCCGUUUUAAAAGAGCGACUACUGCGUUUGUUUUGUUCCAACAAGAAGGCAUAUAACGCGAGCGGGACAGAAAGAGGAAGGCAAGAAGAAGAGGAGAAGAAGUGGAACCGGGAGAUUGCUGCUGCUGCUGCUGCUGCUGCGUGGAAAAAACGCCCAUGCGUAAUGAGACCAUCCUCGCCGACUAUUCUAUCUAAAUUCCUCGACGCCGUUGGCUCUGGUUUCUUGGAAACAUGCAACGCCUCUGGAGGAUGGAGAUGACGACCAUGACGAUUAAACACGGUCGGCGUCGACGAAAUUGACUAAAUGGUGAAUGGUGACAUCUAGUGGUAAACUUGGAGAAUGCGCACUGUGGAGGAAGAAUAGUGGUUACCAGCUUCCACGACUCGUGCAGCUUGAAA